UUUAUGGUAGUUUUAAGGUUGUUUUCAAGGUUGUGUUAAAGGUGGUUUUUAAGGUGGUUUAAGGUGGUUUUAAGUUUUUUUUUUACUGGUUUGAAGGUAGUUUUUUAAGGUAGUUUUAUUCUGAUUUAAGGUAGUUUUAAGGUGGUUUGAAGGUGGAUUUAAGGUGGUUUUAGGUGGUUUUCAUGUUUGUUAUAAGGGGGUUUUAAGGUAGAUUUAAGGUAGAUUUAUAGUGUUUUUAAGGUUUUUUAUACUGGUUUGAAGGAAGUUUUUUAAGGUAGUUUUAUUCUGGUUUGAAGGUAGUUUUAAGGUGGUAUUAUAGUGUUUUUAAGGUUAUUUUUUACUGGUUUUAAGGUAGUUUUAUUCUGGUUUUAAGGUAGUUUUUAAGGUGUUUUGAAGGUAGUUUUAAGGUGGUAUUAUAGUGUUUUUAAGGUUAUUUUUUACUGGUUUUAAGGUAGUUUUUCAGGUGGUUUGAAGGUAGUUUUAAGGUGGUAUUAUAGUGUUUUUAAGGUUAUUUUAUUCUGGUUUGAAGGUAGUUUUAUUCUGGUGUUUUGAAGGUAGUUUUAAGGUGGUAUUAUGGUGUUUUUAAGGUUAUUUUUUACUGGUUUUAAGGUAGUUUUAUUCUGGUUUUAAGGUAGUUUUUAAGGUGGUUUGAUGGUAGUUUUAAGGUGGUUUGAAGGUAGUUUUAAGGUGGUUUGAAGUCAGUUUUAAGGUGGUAUUAUGGUGGUUUUAUUUGUUUGACGGUGUUCCUGUUCGAGGCCUAUAAUUGAACUCUGACCUCUGCGGCGCUCACAGGUGUUUCACAGCCUCUAAACUAACGUCCUGUUGAUGUAGAAACUCUCACAGGCAGCUGUGGGCAGAUGUGAUCACAUGCACUCCGUUUCCCAGAGGUCUUUGCUGCUGCUGCUGCUCUGAAACUCCUCGGAGACAAACAGG